rnacentral:rRNA from 1 species
GUAGGGUGCGAGCGUUGUCCGGGAAUUACUGGGGCGUAAAGAGCUCGUAGGUGGUUUGUCGCGUCGUUGUGUAAGCCCGCAGCUUAACUGCGGGGACUGCAGGCGAUACGGGCAUAACUUGAGUGCUGUAGGGGAGACUGGAAUUCCUGGUGUAGCGGUGGAAUGCGCAGAUAUCAGGAGGAACACCGAUGGCGAAGGCAGGUCUCUGGGCAGUAACUGACGCUGAGGAGCGAAAGCAUGGGGAGCGAACAGGAUUAGAUACCCUGGUAGUCCAUGCCGUAAACGGUGGGCGCUAGGUGUGAGUCCCUUCCACGGGGUUCGUGCCGUAGCUAACGCAUUAAGCGCCCCGCCUGGGGAGUACGGCCGCAAGGCUA